CGGCAGUGGUCGGAGUCCGGCCUCUGUAGAAGUCCGGGAAGGGUCCUCCUUUCGGUUGGGGUCGUAGGUGGAGUCCGGCUCCCGUAGGAGUCCGGACGGAGCUUACCUGCAGUGGAUACUGAAAGCGAAACCCGGCUCCCGUAGGAGUCCGGGCGGAGCAUUCUGCGAUCAAAGUUAAAGAUGAAGUCCGGCUCCCGUG
rnacentral:lncRNA from 1 species